GAUGAAGAAGGUAGCGAAAUGCGAUACUUCGUGUGAAUUGCAGAAUCCCGUGAACCAUCGAGUCUUUGAACGCAAGUUGCGCCCGAAGCCGUCAGGCCGAGGGCACGCCUGCCUCGGCGUCACACGCCGUUGCCCCCCCGCGCCCCGCACCCAACUCUUUGGGAGCGACCGCGGGGCGGGCUGAUGAUGGCCUCCCGUGCGCUCCGCCGCGCGGUUGGCCCAAAUACCGAGUCCCCGGCGACGUGCGCCACGACGAUCGGUGGUUGAGAGACCUCUGUCGCAAGUCGUGCGCGCCCGUCGCGUCACGCGGGCUCGCAUAGCGCCUCGCGCCGCACCCGGUGCGGAGCUUUCAACGCGACCCCAGGUCAGGCGGGGUUACCCGCUGAAUUUAAGCAUAUCAAUAAGCGGAGGA
rnacentral:misc_RNA from 1 species